rnacentral:rRNA from 1 species
UACGGGGGGGCAAGCGUUGUUCGGAAUUACUGGGCGUAAAGGGCUCGUAGGCGGCCAACUAAGUCAGACGUGAAAUCCCUCGGCUUAACCGGGGAACUGCAUCUGAUACUGGAUGGCUUGAGUUCGGGAGAGGGAUGCGGAAUUCCAGGUGUAGCGGUGAAAUGCGUAGAUAUCUGGAGGAACACCGGUGGCGAAGGCGGCAUCCUGGACCGACACUGACGCUGAGGAGCGAAAGCGUGGGGAGCAAACAGG